rnacentral:lncRNA from 1 species
AUUGAUCUUCAGGGGAUCCUUCUUUUCAGUAAGACUAACUCUCCUGGUUAGAGGUGAUACUUUAUUUCUAUAUUGUUGAAGGGCCUUGUGAACAAAGCCUAAAUUUCAAAGAGGGCAUAGUGGGAUGAGUAAUAAAAUGUACACCCAGGAAAGCUUGCCCUUCUGGGGGGUCUGGGUCUGCACUGGUAUAUUUCCUGAGUCCCUCUAUCAAACGACCCAGAAACAGAAAAGGAUUUUCAUCUUUUACCUGAGUUAUAUUUCUAGCUCUGUCAUAAUUGACUGGCUUAACCACAGAUACUUCCCUCCACUUUUUUCCCACAGCACAGCGAACAGAUAACAAUAUUUCUAAGUCAUGACAAGUUAAAUCAAAGAACGUGGUCAACAUAACACAUGCCUGUAUAAACUUUUCUGGAUUUUCUGAAAACUGGCCAAAUUUUUCCUCAUAUAAAUCCAAAUUAGAUGUAGAAAAUGGCACAUGUAACCCCAUUUCCAUUAGCUACCUCCUGCAAUGGACACAGAUUUUAC